CAGCUAGUUGGUAGGGUAAUGGCCUACCAAGGCUAAGACGGGUAGCUGGUCUGAGAGGAUGAACAGCCACACUGGAACUGAGACACGGUCCAGACUCCUACGGGAGGCAGCAGUGGGGAAUCUUGCGCAAUGGGCGAAAGCCUGACGCAGCGACGCCGCGUGAGCGAUGAAGGCCUUCGGGUUGUAAAGCUCUGUGGGGAGGAAAGAAUAAGGUUUGGCUAAUAUCCAAGCUGAUGACGGUACCUCCUUAGCAAGCACCGGCUAACUCUGUGCCAGCAGCCGCGGUAAGACAGAGGGUGCAAACGUUGUUCGGAAUUACUGGGCGUAAAGCGCGUGUAGGCGGCCCUGUAAGUCGGGUGUGAAAUCCCACGGCUCAACCGUGGAAGUGCACUCGAAACUACAGGGCUAGAGUCCUGGAGAGGAAGGUGGAAUGCUUGGUGUAGAGGUGAAAUUCGUAGAUAUCAAGCGGAACACCGGUGGCGAAGGCCGCCUUCUGGACAGUGACU
rnacentral:rRNA from 1 species